GCGCAGCAGCUCCAGGAUUCCGCCCUCCCCGCCGCGUCUGCCGCCCUCUCCCUCCUACGUGGGCUUUGCCGUAUCUCCCGUAGAACAAUGAAGGGCUUCCAAGUUUGCUAAGACUCCCAGGCACAUUCUUUGGACUUCUGUGAUAGUCUUCAAAAUGUUUUGCCACCGACUUUUACAAGAAGCUGUUUUUUAAAAAGCCCUUCCCUUCGUGGAUUGCUUUGUCUGAAGAUUACUCAGGGUGACCAUGGUUCAGCGCUUUAGCCUCAGGAGGCAGCUAUCCAAGGUGGGUACCUUGGGUAGCUUUGUGUGUGUGUUUAGGGGAAACUCUCACCAGCUUUGGCGUGGUCUCCUUUUUCUCUAGAACUGUUCUGUCAAGCCUGCCUCCUCCGGUGCUAAGGAGGGACAGAGGGAGGAAGCGCCGCCUUUUGUUCUUUCCUCAGACAGACACAAAGGUUUAAGGCUGACUGCAUUGGAAACCCCAGAUUUUGUUCCCCUAAAACUAAAGCUAUCAUCUGUGAAUUUGCAGGAAGUUGUAGUCUGCUUCUCAGUUACAGUUUCCAGAGGGUGUGAGUGAAGGAGAGAAUAGUGGGUAAAAAGUGCAUGUUUAAUUAGCAAUUCAUGUAGCAGCUUUUGACCAAAAUGAGAAAGCUUUAUUGGUCUUUGGAAUCAGUGCUUUCAUACAGAGUUUAAUAUUAAACUGGGGAAAACUACCAUAAAAUAGUUCAAUAAGCAUGACCGCCUUGAAAAUGUUAACAUGAGUGGUUGUAUUAAGAAACUCGCUUAUUCCUUCAUUAAGGAGUGUGUGAAAAGCAGUACCUGAAGGCUCAGGAAUCAAUUUUUACAGAGUUGUGCUUCAAAAACAGGUUUCACGUGUGCAGCUUUGGGGGAAAACUUUUAAACUAAGAAAAUCAAACUUAAAUUUACAAAAAGAAAGAAAGAAAGAAAGCAAAGCCCUCUUAGAAGAGGGGCUGCUGAUUUUAUGAAUCAGCCUUGGCAGUGGACCUCUGUUAACGCAGUCAUUGAGCUCUCUUUUUAAGUGAGUGCAAAAACUACUUUGGAAAGAGGUGUGCUGAGAGUUGAGCUUAUUUCAGAAACCCAUUCUGUUUUUUAAAAGCUCUAUUUUUAAAAUGUAGCAGUUGGUGGCUAAAUUGUGUCACAGUUAAUUCUCUGCAGACAGAAGCUUAAACAAAUAGUAAAUCAGUAGACAUUCUAAACUUCCUUGGUUGUUAGUCAGAAUUGUUAAAUCCUGAAAUGCGUUAUUGCCUUAAGGGGAAACCUUUAGUUCCUCACAGGUGACCUCAGUGUAGGAUGUGUGCAUUCAAGCAAAAAUGAGCAAAGCUCUUGCCUUCAUCCCCAUGUCAAAUUUUGUCUUUUUUCUUGCAUCUCCAAGCCUAACAGGGACUUUUUAGGAGUAUUAGAAUAAAUUUUCCUUGCUUCCCUUCUCCUCAUUCCAGGUGUGUGGGUGGGGGUGAGGGGGCUGGGAGGCCUCCACAUUUCUCCUGAACAAUAAAGAGAGUCAUUUUUGUUUCUCCUUCACGUGAUCCUCUGAUCACGUAUUUUCAAAUAUAUAGUACAACUAAAAAACGGAAGUUGUGUAGAUUGUCAGGGCAGUGACCUUUCUGCAUAAGGAUGUUUGAAACAAGUGAGAUCUAGGUGAUAAGUUUCUAAGUAGAAAAUAACUGCUUUCUAGGUAUUUCUCUCCCAAUAAUUUUGUGAACUUUUAACACUCUUUUCACUCUGUACUGUAUGCAUGACUGUGAUUUAUGGGGGGGGGGGAAACUUUUAGGGGGAUUAGGAGCACAUCUUCUCUAUAACAUGAAGAAAUAAAAGGUACAGAUUAUGU
ensembl:lncRNA